UACGUAGGGGGCAAGCGUUGUCCGGAUUUAUUGGGCGUAAAGAGCGUGUGGGCGGUUUGGUAGGUCCGCUGUGAAAACUCGAGCUCAACCUCGAGACGCCGGUGGAAACCAUCAGACUAGAGUCCGGAAGAGGAGAGUGGAAUUCCUGGUGUAGCGGUGAAAUGCGCAGAUAUCAGGAAGAACACCCGUGGCUAAGGCGGCUCUCUAGUACGGUACUGACGCUGAGACGCGAAAGCGUGGGGAGCGAACAGG
rnacentral:rRNA from 1 species